GAAUUCGCCCUUAGAGUUUGAUCCUGGCUCAGGACGAACGCUGGCGGCGUGCCUAACACAUGCAAGUCGAACGAAGCUCGAAGCUCUGAGAUUUCGGUCAAGGAGCCUAGAUGACUUAGUGGCGAACGGGUGAGUAAUGCGUGAGCAACCUGCCUUUCAGAGGGGGACAACAGCUGGAAACGGCUGCUAAUACCGCAUAACACACCGGGGUGGCAUCACCCUGGUGUCAAAGGAGCAAUCCGCUGAGAGAUGGGCUCACGUCUGAUUAGCUGGUUGGUGAGGUAACGGCUCACCAAGGCGACGAUCAGUAGCCGGUCUGAGAGGAUGAACGGCCACAUUGGGACUGAGAUACGGCCCAGACUCCUACGGGAGGCAGCAGUGGGGAAUAUUGGGCAAUGGGCGAAAGCCUGACCCAGCAACGCCGCGUGAAGGAAGAAGGCUUUCGGGUUGUAAACUUCUUUUAUCAGGGACGAAGGACGUGACGGUACCUGAUGAAUAAGCCACGGCUAACUACGUGCCAGCAGCCGCGGUAAUACGUAGGUGGCAAGCGUUGUCCGGAUUUACUGGGUGUAAAGGGCGCGUAGGCGGAGAGACAAGUCAGAUGUGAAAUCUAUGGGCUUAACCCAUAAACUGCAUUUGAAACUAUCUCCCUUGAGUGAUGGAGAGGCAAGCGGAAUUCCUUGUGUAGCGGUGAAAUGCGUAGAUAUAAGGAAGAACACCAGUGGCGAAGGCGGAUGACUGGACGACAACUGACGGUGAGGCGCGAAAGCGUGGGGAGCAAACAGGAUUAGAUACCCUGGUAGUCCACGCUGUAAACGAUCGAUACUAGGUGUGCGGGGACUGACCCCCUGCGUGCCGCAGUUAACACAAUAAGUAUCGCACCUGGGGAGUACGAUCGCAAGGUUGUAACUCAAAGGAAUUGACGGGGGCCCGCACAAGCGGUGGAGUAUGUGGUUUAAUUCGACGCAACGCGAAGAACCUUACCAAGUCUUGACAUCCUGCGACGCACAUAGAAAUAUGUGUUUCCUUCGGGACGCAGAGACAGGUGGUGCAUGGUUGUCGUCAGCUCGUGUCGUGAGAUGUUGGGUUAAGUCCCGCAACAAGCGCAACCCUUAUCUUUAGUAGCCAGCGGUCCGGCCGGGCACUCUAGAGAGACUGCCAGGGAUAACCUGGAGGAAGGCGGGGAUGACGUCAAAUCAUCAUGCCCCUUAUGACUUGGGCUACACACGUGCUACAAUGGCGUAAACAAAGGGAAGCAAAGCUGUGAAGCCGAGCAAAUCUCAAAAAUAACGUCUCAGUUCGGACUGUAGUCUGCAACCCGACUACACGAAGCUGGAAUCGCUAGUAAUCGCAGAUCAGAAUGCUGCGGUGAAUACGUUCCCGGGUCUUGCACACACCGCCCGUCA
rnacentral:rRNA from 1 species